ensembl:lncRNA
AAAAAACCCAAACCAACCAAACAAAAAAAAACCAACCUAGAAUCAUAGGGUAUGUAAUACCAGCAUAAGACAGAAAUAGACCCGAUGAACUAGCUUUGCUUGAGAAUAUGAUUGUUGUUCCUGAAAUACUACCAAAAACUAUGGAGGCAGGAGAAGACAUAGAGUGAUGUGUAGCACCCAGUGGAGUUUGACUUUCCAACAAUAUAAAGCUACUCUGGUUUGUAAUGGUUCGAGCCAUGUCUCGAUCUUGCAGACUUUGUCUCAGGUAAAACUGUCAGUUGGGACAGUAGAAUUUGUACUGGGGUAAAUUAUUUUAAUGAGGAUUUCUUGGUGCGUGUUCGUGAUAAAUUUACUAUUAUGUUACAGUGAUAUAUCUUGACUAUUUUUUUUCUCCUGUACACUAAGGUGUUUAAUAGUUUAACAUUCUAAUGACUAAAGUAGAAAAGAAGUUUGCUCCCAAGGAUAUUGUAUGGACUGUUCAGCAAGUUGCUGCAAUUUAAACUGAAAAAAAAAAAAAAAAAAAAAAGAAGAUAUAAAACCUUAACCUUUUCAGACCAUCCCCCAAACCAGGUUUUUAGUGGAGGCCCUAUCCGACCCAGCUAAGGUUGACUGAUUCCUUAGGAGCUGAGCCAAAUGUUUAAAAUUAAACAAACUACCAGCAAUGUAAAAAUUCUGCCUCACUAUGGUCUGAGUCUUACCACAGGCUUUGGUAGGAAUAUGACAAGCCUCUCUUUUAUAUGUAUCCUGCUUUAAAACCAUAGUGUAACCCAAUCUAAAGUUAAUGGGAUUUUGUAUAUAAGGCAUUCUCAGCUGAACUUAUGCAAAAUGAGUUUCUUUCUCUGAAUGAGGAGAUUGCCUUUUACAGUGGUACCUACACCUGCAGUAUAGCUUUACAGAUGAUAGAAAUUUGGCAUAUGUGAAGGAAAAGUCAAAUAAACAAUCGUAUUGUAAUAUGAACCAGACUUUGCUGCCACCUGCAACUAUAGCAUAAUCUCAAAUUGAUCUGAGAAUUGACGUUAAUAUCCUGCUUUUUCUACUUGCAAUCUCUUUCAUCUUUCAAAUGUAAAUAGCCUUACGCCAUUUUGCACUGUGUUUAAAAAAUAAAAAGCUAAAAAAAACUACUUUUGCAUUCAAAUGUGCCUAAAAAAAUUAAAAUAAUAAUAAAAAAAGUAUAUGCUGCCAUCUUGCAAAUUAGUAUGCUCUGUACUCCUGUGUGCCUAUAAUUAGAAGUCUGUUUCUUCAGAAAGUGCCCACUGGAAAAUGAAGAGAUAGACUGCUGGUCUCGAGACUUUCAUUAACAAGCCACUUUAUGUAUCACCUUAUUGUAUAUACGAUAAAACUGAUGCUUUUGUGUGCAUUAUGUAGUCUUUCAAUGGAAAGUCCUUUAUUUGGUAUAGACUCAGCUGCCAUAAUGUAUUUGUUGAAGUAUUCUGUUCUUUCACUGAUGCAUAUAAAAUUAUUCAUGUCU